UACGUAGGGGGCAAGCGUUGUCCGGAAUUAUUGGGCGUAAAGCGCGCGCAGGCGGUCUCUUAAGUCUGAUGUGAAAUCCCGUGGCUUAACCACGGGCGGUCAUUGGAAACUGGGGGACUUGAGUGCAGAAGAGAAGAGCGGAAUUCCACGUGUAGCGGUGAAAUGCGUAGAGAUGUGGAGGAACACCAGUGGCGAAGGCGGCUCUUUGGUCUGUAACUGACGCUGAGGCGCGAAAGCGUGGGGAGCGAACAGG
rnacentral:rRNA from 1 species